GGCCGAAUGGCCGAGUGGUUAAGGCGUCAGAUUUAAGCCAUUGAUUCCUGAUGGGCGGACGCCCGCGCGAGUUCGAUCCUCGCUUCGGCCA